CCUAACACAUGCAAGUCGAACGGAGCUUACUUGAAGGAGACUACGGUCAACGGAAGGGUAAGCUUAGUGGCGGACGGGUGAGUAACGCGUGGAGAACCUGCCCUGUACAGGGGGAUAACAGUGAGAAAUCACUGCUAAUACCGCAUAAGCGCACAGUACCGCAUGGUACAGUGUGAAAAAACUCCGGUGGUACAGGAUGGCUCCGCGUUGGAUUAGCCAGUUGGAGGGGUAACGGCCCACCAAAGCGACGAUCCAUAGCCGGCCUGAGAGGGUGAACGGCCACAUUGGGACUGAGACACGGCCCAGACUCCUACGGGAGGCAGCAGUGGGGAAUAUUGCACAAUGGGGGAAACCCUGAUGCAGCCGACGCCGCGUGAGCGAAGAAGUAUUUCGGUAUGUAAAGCUCUAUCAGCAGGGAAGAUAAUGACGGUACCUGACUAAGAAGCACCGGCUAAAUACGUGCCAGCCGCCGC
rnacentral:rRNA from 1 species